rnacentral:rRNA from 1 species
GACGAAGGGGGCUAGCGUUGUUCGGAAUUACUGGGCGUAAAGCGCGUGUAGGCGGUUAUCCAAGUCGGGUGUGAAAGCCUUGAGCUCAACUCAAGAAAUGCACUCGGUACUGGGUGACUAGAGGACCGGAGAGGAUAGUGGAAUUCCCAGUGUAGUGGUGAAAUACGUAGAGAUUGGGAAGAACACCAGUGGCGAAGGCGGCUAUCUGGACGGUUUCUGACACUAAGACACGAAAGCGUGGGGAGCAAACAGG